AGAGUUUGAUCAUGGCUCAGAAUCAACGCUGGCGGCGCGCUUAACACAUGCAAGUCGAACGAGAAAGGGGAGCAAUCCCUGAGUAAAGUGGCGUACGGGUGAGUAACACGUGGGUAAUCUACCUCUGGGUGGGGAAUAACGCUGGGAAACCGGCGCUAAUACCGCAUAACACUGAAAGGUCAAAGGCGCAAGUCGCCUGGAGAGGAGCCCGCGGCUGAUUAGCUAGUUGGUGGGGUAAAGGCUCACCAAGGCUUUGAUCGGUAGCCGGCCUGAGAGGGCACACGGCCACACUGGCACUGAAACACGGGCCAGACUCCUACGGGAGGCAGCAGUGGGGAAUCUUGCACAAUGGGGGCAACCCUGAUGCAGCGACGCCGCGUGAGCGAUGAAGCCCUUCGGGGUGUAAAGCUCUUUCGGCAGGGACGAUAAUGACGGUACCUGAAGAAGAAGCUGCGGCUAACUACGUGCCAGCAGCCGCGGUAAUACGUAGGCAGCGAGCGUUGUUCGGAGUUACUGGGCGUAAAGAGUGCGUAGGCGGUUUUCUAAGUUUGGUGUGAAAUCUCCCGGCUUAACUGGGAGGGUGCGCCGAAAACUGGAAAGCUGGAGUGUGGGAGAGGUAAGCGGAAUUCCUGGUGUAGCGGUGAAAUGCGUAGAUAUCAGGAGGAACACCUGCGGUGUAGACGGCUUACUGGACCAUAACUGACGCUGAGGCACGAAAGCGUGGGUAGCAAACAGGAUUAGAUACCCCAGUAGUCC
rnacentral:rRNA from 1 species